rnacentral:rRNA from 1 species
UAAAGCGUUCGUAGCCGGUUUGAUAAGUCUUUGGUGAAAGCUUGUAGCUUAACUAUAAGAAUUGCUGAAGAUACUGUCAGACUUGAAGUCGGGAGAGGUUAGAGGUACUACCGGGGUAGGGGUGAAAUCCUAUAAUCCUGGGAGGACCACCUGUGGCGAAGGCGUCUAACUGGAACGAUCUUGACGGUGAGUAACGAAAGCCAGGGGCGCGAACCGGAUUAGAUACCCUGGUAGUCCACGCCGUAAACGAUGGAUACUAGGUGUGGGAGGUAUUGACCCCUUCCGUGCCGCAGUUAACACAUUAAGUAUCCCACCUGGGGAGUACGACCGCAAGGUUGAAACUCAAAGGAAUUGACGGGGGCCCGCACAAGCAGUGGAGUAUGUGGUUUAAUUCGAAGCAACGCGAAGAACCUUACCUGGUCUUGACAUCCCGAUGACCGCUCUAGAGAUAGAGUUUUCCCUUCGGGGACAUCGGUGACAGGUGGUGCGUGGUUGUCGUCAGCUCGUGUCGUGAGAUGUUGGGUUAAGUCCCGCAACGAGCGCAACCCUUAUUGUUAGUUGAUACAUUUAGUUGAUCACUCUAGCGAGACUGCCGUUGACAAAACGGAGGAAGGUGGGGACGACGUCAAAUCAUCAUGCCCCUUAUGGCCAGGGCUACACACGUACUACAAUGGCAGUCAUACAGAGGGAAGCAAAGCCGUGAGGUCGAGCAAAUCCCUAAGAGCUGUCCCAGUUCAGAUUGCAGGCUGCAACUCGCCUGCAUGAAGUCGGAAUUGCUAGUAAUCGCGGAUCAGCAUGCCGCGG